CCUGGGUUAGGUUAGUGGGUCUUAGUGAGUUUGGGUUAAGCUAUUUUGGUCUGUAAUUAGGUAGUUGGGUUAAUAAUUGGGUUGUGAUAUUGAGGCUUAGUGGGUCUGAUGUAUUUUGGGUUUGUAAUAUGGAUUGAUGGACUUUUAAUAAUUUUUGUUUAUUUAUUUAUUUUUGAUUUGGGCAGGGCAAAUUUGGGUUAUUACAGGUUUUUGGUUCCGAAAUGUCUUUUGUAAAAUGGGGAGAAAACCCAUAUUUUUAGGCUGGACUGUUUGGCUUCCCUAAGAGCCAC
rnacentral:lncRNA from 1 species